rnacentral:rRNA from 1 species
CCCUACGGGGGGCAGCAGUAGGGAAUCUUCCACAAUGGGCGAAAGCCUGAUGGAGCAACGCCGCGUGGGUGAAGAAGGUCUUCGGAUCAUAAAACCCUGUUGUUAGAGAAGAAAGUGCGUGAGAGUAACUGCUCACGUUUCGACGGUAUCUAACCAGAAAGCCACGGCUAACUACGUGCCAGCAGCCGCGGUAAUACGUAGGUGGCAAGCGUUAUCCGGAUUUAUUGGGCGUAAAGGGAACGCAGGCGGUCUUUUAAGUCUGAUGUGAAAGCCUUCGGCUUAACCGGAGUAGUGCAUUGGAAACU